GCCUACGGGGGGCAGCAGUGAGGAAUAUUGGUCAAUGGGCGCGAGCCUGAACCAGCCAAGUCGCGUGAGGGAAGACGGUCCUAUGGAUUGAAAACCUCUUUUGUCGGGGAGCAAAAGACGCCACGUGUGGCGUUCCGAGAGUACCCGAAGAAAAAGCAUCGGCUAACUCCGUGCCAGCAGCCGCGGUAAUACGGAGGAUGCGAGCGUUAUCCGGAUUUAUUGGGUUUAAAGGGUGCGCAGGCGGAAGAUCAAGUCAGCGGUAAAAUUGAGAGGCUCAACCUCUUCGAGCCGUUGAAACUGGUUUU
rnacentral:rRNA from 1 species